CCCAGAACGUGCGUGUGUCUUUUACGUGACGUCACACGCACGUCGACGUCUUCCAUGCCGUGGGCGGACGUGGAGUUAUAAAUCAGUGUGGAUCCGCAGCGGCCGGCGUCCAUCAACAUGCUGCAGGGGUCAGAGACAUUGACGCAUGGUCGCUAAACGGCACUACUGCGUUUAUUGGCAAGGCGAGCACUAUCAAUGUGCAAAGGUGAGGAUGAACAUGUGACACUUAGCCGCGAAAGCUCUGGAACUAUUUUCGGCAUCAAGACUUUGCUGUUCCCGGUUGGUCUCCAGCGGCACUUAGCUGCUAUUCCAUGAAACUAUUUUCGGCAUGAAGACUUCGUGGUUCC